rnacentral:rRNA from 1 species
GAUGAACGCUGGCGGAAUGCUUUACACAUGCAAGUCGAACGGUAGAGGGGGCAACCCCUCGAGAGUGGCGAACGGGUGAGUAAUGUAUCGGAACGUGCCCAGUCGUGGGGGAUAACGUAGUGAAAAUUACGCUAAUACCGCAUACGAUCUAUGGAUGAAAGCGGGGGAUCGCAAGACCUCGCGCGAUUGGAGCGGCCGAUAUCAGAUUAGGUAGUUGGUGGGGGAAAGGCCCACCAAGCCAACGAUCUGUAGCUGGUCUGAGAGGACGACCAGCCACACUGGAACUGAGACACGGUCCAGACUCCGACGGGAGGCAGCAGUGGGGAAUUUUGGACAAUGGGCGAAAGCCUGAUCCAGCCAUUCCGCGUGCAGGAUGAAGGCCCUCGGGUUGUAAACUGCUUUUGUACAGAACGAAAAGGUUUCUACUAAUACUAGGAGCUCAUGACGGUACUGUAAGAAUAAGCACCGGCUAACUACGUGCCAGCCGCCGCGGUAA